GCGGGAGUAGCUCAGUUGGCAGAGCAUCUGCUUCCCAAGCAGAGGGUCGAGGGUUCGAGUCCCUUCUCCCGCUCCA
rnacentral:tRNA from 1 species